UGCUUCUCUGAUGUUAGCGGCGGACGGGUGAGUAACACGUGGAUAACCUACCUAUAAGACUGGGAUAACUUCGGGAAACCGGAGCUAAUACCGGAUAAUAUUUUGAACCGCAUGGUUCAAAAGUGAAAGACGGUCUUGCUGUCACUUAUAGAUGGAUCCGCGCUGCAUUAGCUAGUUGGUAAGGUAACGGCUUACCAAGGCAACGAUGCAUAGCCGACCUGAGAGGGUGAUCGGCCACACUGGAACUGAGACACGGUCCAGACUCCUACGGGAGGCAGCAGUAGGGAAUCUUCCGCAAUGGGCGAAAGCCUGACGGAGCAACGCCGCGUGAGUGAUGAAGGUCUUCGGAUCGUAAAACUCUGUUAUUAGGGAAGAACAUAUGUGUAAGUAACUGUGCACAUCUUGACGGUACCUAAUCAGAAAGCCACGGCUAACUACGUGCCAGCAGCCGCGGUAAUACGUAGGUGGCAAGCGUUAUCCGGAAUUAUUGGGCGUAAAGCGCGCGUAGGCGGUUUUUUAAGUCUGAUGUGAAAGCCCACGGCUCAACCGUGGAGGGUCAUUGGAAACUGGAAAACUUGAGUGCAGAAGAGGAAAGUGGAAUUCCAUGUGUAGCGGUGAAAUGCGCAGAGAUAUGGAGGAACACCAGUGGCGAAGGCGACUUUCUGGUCUGU
rnacentral:rRNA from 1 species